UACGUAGGGGGCAAGCGUUGUCCGGAUUUAUUGGGCGUAAAGAGCGCGUAGGCGGCCAGGUAGGUCUGCUGUGAAAACUCGAGGCUCAACCUCGAGAUGUCGGCGGAAACCAUCUGGCUAGAGUCCGGAAGAGGAGAGUGGAAUUCCUGGUGUAGCGGUGGAAUGCGCAGAUAUCAGGAGGAACACCUAAGGCGAAGGCAGCUCGCUGGGACGUUACUGACGCUGAGACGCGAAAGCGUGGGGAGCAAACAGG
rnacentral:rRNA from 1 species